AACUUUCAACAACGGAUCUCUUGGUUNUCGCAUCGAUGAAGAGCGCAGCGAAAUGCGAUACCUAAGUGGUUGAUUGGCAGCCAUCGUGAAUCAUCAAGUUCUUGAACGCACAUUGCGCCCCAUGGUAUUCCAUGGGGCAUGCCUGUCUGAGCGUCGUUUC
rnacentral:rRNA from 1 species